GCGCCGGUGGUCGAAACUUUAACAAAUUCCCGCCGCGACACGGCUCGGUCGAAGCGAUAUCACACACGCUCCUCGACGGAUAUACACGUAUUCGGCGUAUAAAAGCACCAGAUGAAAGCACACGAACAAUUCUAAGUAGAAGAUUCAAACGACCUUAAUGAUCUGUAACGACACAAACAAACGUCGUUCACGUCUUAGCACUAUUAUUAAGGCACUUGCAACCAAUUUCCUUCGUACGUCUAAGGUCACUCGCUGGUCGAGUAUAAGGCACAAAUCUAUUACGGCUCACGAGCGACCAAGCUGUCCGAGAUCGUUACCAUUGAGCCGAGUCGCACGAAAGUUUCCGCAGAGGCAAACGUCACACUGUCACAGUACGUCCGUUCACAUCGAGCGAGACGAGAUUACCGAUAUCUGCUAUCGAUCGGAGAGGUGUUCUUCAAACAGGAGCCGUGCCGGGUUUCGCAUCGUGACGAUCCCGAACGGAAACGUCGGAAACUAUGGUUCGCCGUGAACUAUGGGCGAUAUGUCAUCGGAUGCUGGAGCGAAAGAAGAAGGACGAAAGCAUUUUGCCGCAGUAUAGAGUGACGAGGGGCUGGUUCGAGGGGGCACAGGGGGAAUUAGGACCUACGAGGGACAGAAACCGACAGAAAGAGAAGAGGAGCGAGUAAGACGAAGGGUGGAAUGAGAAAGAGGGAGAGAGAGAGUGGAGAAAGAGAGAGAGAGAGAGAGAGGGAGAAGGAGGGAGAAACGGAAAGGGAGACGCGUGUUGUGUGAAGAGGAAAAGGUGGUGGGGAUUUUGAGCACGCGCCGCAGCCCCCUCGUUUCUUCUCCCCCGGAACUGAAAAGGGGGACCUAACCAUGCACCAUAUGCUGAGGGGAGCGUGUGCCAGUUGCGUAUAUGCGAGCGCGCACGCGCGAACGCGCGCACGCUUACUUUAUGCACGGAAUCCAUCGGCGGCCAAUGUUUCACGAGCAAUUAUUGUUGAAAGUCCUUUAUUGCACAGGCUGCCACGUUUAUGGCAAAUUUAUGGAGCACGCUUUAACCCUGCUACAACGAUCUCCGAGUCUUGUCUAUUCCCUUUAUGCAACCCCGUUGCCUCCCUCCGGGUCCUUUCAGAACCGAGUAUCCUUUCUUCUCAGUAUUAUUUCUUCGGUAGCACUAUGAUUUUCAAUGAUUUGGUGACUUAGUCGAGUUCAUAAUUUGUUAACCAGUUAGUUGCUUUGGACGAGCAUACUUCGUCGUUUUUUCAUAAUGAGUAUACUCGUCAAUAACAGUUAACUGGUUAAGAAAGCACGUUAGUUAUUUUAUAGCCUUUAAUGAAACAUAUGAAAAUUUGAAUAAAUUGUCAAAAUAAAAACAUUCAUGUUUUAAAACUGACACCUAUUUAGAAAAAAGUGUAUUAUUUACGAGAACUGUAUCUUAUUUACAAGAACUGUCUUUUAUUUAGGAGAACUGUACUUUAUUUAUAAAAACGGUCCUUUAUUUAUAAGACCGGUCUAUUAAUUAUAAGAACAGCCCUUUGUUUGUAAGAACGAUUAUUAAAAACAAGUUUAAUUGUU